CUUGGUUUUUUUUUUAAAAAAACUCUUUUAGGGUUGGUCGCAGAUGAUCGUGCGGCAGUCCUACACAUGCAAGUCGAGCGGAUGAAGGAGCUUACUCCUGAUUAGCGGCGGACGGUGAGUAAUGCCUAGGAAUCUGCCUGGUAGUGGGGAUAACGUUCCGAAAGGAACGCUAAUACCGCGUACGUCCUACGGAGAAAGCAGGGGACCUUCGGGCCUUGCGCUAUCAGAUGAGCCUAGGUCGGAUUAGCUAGUUGGUGAGGUAAUGUCUCACCAAGGCGACGAUCCGUAACUGGUCUGAGAGGAUGAUCAGUCACACUGGAACUGAGACACGGUCCAGACUCCUACGGGAGGCAGCAGUGGGGAAUAUUGGACAAUGGGCGAAAGCCUGAUCCAGCCAUGCCGCGUGUGUGAAGAAGGUCUUCGGAUUGUAAAGCACUUUAAGUUGGGAGGAAGGGCUGCUGGUUAAUACCCUGCAGUUUUGACGUUACCAACAGAAUAAGCACCGGCUAACUUCGUGCCAGCAGCCGCGGUAAUACGAAGGGUGCAAGCGUUAAUCGGAAUUACUGGGCGUAAAGCGCGCGUAGGUGGUUCGUUAAUUUGGAUGUGAAAGCCCCGGGCUCAACCUGGGAACUGCAUCCAAAACUGGCGAGCUAGAGUACGGUAGAGGGUGGUGGAAUUUCCUGUGUAGCGGUGAAAUGCGUAGAUAUAGGAAGGAACACCAGUGGCGAAGGCGACCUCCUGGACUGAUACUGACACUGAGGUGCGAAAGCGUGGGGAGCAACCAGGAUUAGAUACCCUGGUAGUCCACCCCGUAAACGAUGUCAACUAGCCGUUGGAAUCCUUGAGCAUUUUAGUGGCGCAGCUAACGCAUUAACUGACCGCCUGGAGACGCGACUUGU
rnacentral:rRNA from 1 species